rnacentral:rRNA from 1 species
AAUGGGGGAAACCCUGAUCUAGCCAUGCCGCGUGAUCGAUGAAGGCCUUAGGGUUGUAAAGAUCUUUCGCUGGGGAAGAUAAUGACGGUACCCAGUAAAGAAGCCCCGGCUAACUCCGUGCCAGCAGCCGCGGUACUACGGAGGGGGCUAGCGUUGUUCGGAAUUACUGGGCGUAAAGCGCGCGUAGGCGGAUUGGAAAGUUGGGGGUGAAAUCCCGGGGCUCAACCCUGGAACUGCCUUCAAAACUCCCAGUCUGGAGUUCGAGAGAGGUGAGUGGAAUUCCGAGUGUAGAGGUGAAAUUCGUAGAUAUUCGGAGGAACACCAGUGGCGAAGGCGGCUCACUGGCUCGAUACUGACGCUGAGGUGCGAAAGUGUGGGGAGCAAACAGGAUUAGAUACCCUGGUAGUCCACACCGUAAACGAUGAAUGCCAGAAGUCGGAAAGCAUGCUUGUCGGUGUCACAACUAACGGAUUAAGCAUUCCGCCUGUGGAGUACGGUCGCAAGAUCUAAACGUCGAGGAAUUGACGGAGGCCCGCACAAGCGGCGGAGCAUGUGGUUU